UACGUAGGGGGCAAGCGUUGUCCGGAUUCAUUGGGCGUAAAGAGCGUGUAGGCGGCCAGGUAGGUCGGUUGUGAAAACUGGAGGCUCAACCUUCAGACGUCGACCGAAACCAUCUGGCUAGAGUCCGGGAGAGGAGAGUGGAAUUCCUGGUGUAGCGGUGAAAUGCGCAGAUAUCAGGAGGAACACCGGUGGCGAAGGCGGAUCUCUGGGCCGAUACUGACGCUGAGGAGCGAAAGCGUGGGGAGCGAACAGG
rnacentral:rRNA from 1 species